rnacentral:tRNA from 1 species
GGUCGAUUAGCUCAGUCGGUUAGAGUGCUUGCUUGACAUGCAAGAGGUCACCGGUUCAAUUCCAGUAUCGACCACCA